ACACCCGUGGCCUAGCUCCUGGUUGGGAGACUCCGGCAACGGACCCAAAGACUGGCCCGCCCGACCAAUGCCUGAUGCUGACCAGAGCCUGGAGGAGCUGUCAAAUCUGCCCCUUGUCAGUUACCCAGAGGAGUCCAUAGUGCUUGACCCCCUGGAGGACACCAUCCUGACCCAGGACAGGUGUGAAUAACUGUCUGUUUGCCUCUACUGCUGCUGCGGCGAGAGACUCCCACGGCCAGGCUAAUUCCCCAUCAACAACUGGAAGGAAGUACUGAGGUGGUGUGGUCCCCCACUGCCCCGAAGAGGGACAAGUCCCAACCAACCCCUUCUACAUCCAGUCAUGGAUCAGGGCCCUAUAGUGGGAGAAGCAUCACCAAGUGUGAAAUGCUAGCUUACUCAAGAGGUGUUAUCUUCAACAAAAGGUCUACAGACAUCAGACAAGCCACUGCGAACAAAAGACUGUUGAUUGUUUCCCCUCACACUCCUCCGCUCACCACAGCUUGAAUGCUGAGGAAAGGGAAUAAAAACCUGUUAAAAGAAAUUAAUCUUCAUGCUGUCUGGACUCUAACGGGCAAAGACUCCCAAAUAUAAACCAGAGAUCCCCAAGGUACUUGGCUUGGGUUAGCCCUAGAGGACAUAAAAGCUUAAUUA